UUCUGUGUAUGGCACUGGUAGAAUUCACUGUGAACAGUCUCAGUCAGUGAAUUACCGAAGGGCCAUAAACAGAG
rfam:Cricetulus griseus cell line CHO-K1, whole genome shotgun sequence.